CCUGGGAGCUGCCAGGCUGCUGUGAGGGCCUGGGCUUGAACUGUACCAAUUUUUCAAAAAAAGAAGAAGAAAUUGAAGAGCAGAUGAUUUCAUAACGGUUGGCCACUGAUGCUUUACAGAGCUGCAGGUCAGAGCUCCUGGGAAGGCAGAAACCCAUCCCUCACCCUUUCCUCUGAAUUUGAGUGAGGCUCACGGUGAGCACAGUGCCAGCACCACGCAGGGUCCUGUCUCCGGCGCUGGGUGGUGCCAACCAUUUCAGACACUGCUUCCCAUAAGUAAUGCUGCAGUGAUACAGCAUCAGUGUAAGUUCUAGGAAACAGGCAAGGUGCCCAGCCAACACGUAGAGCCAGGGCCUGGGCAGGGAAUGGCAUGCGUCACAUCAGACACAGCUUUUGGGGGUGGGUGUGGAGAGAGCAUCCAAUUGCACAAAUAGACAGUUUUCAGGACAUCGUCAAAGCAGAGUGAAACUCUUCUCAUCAGGUAGCCAAGCCCUAACGCUGACUGAGCAGCCCUGAAAAUCCAUGCUGGCAGGCUUUGUGCAAAUACGCCGUCCCUGCCAUAACAACCUGCUGACAAGCCAAGGGCAGAAAGGUAAGUUUUUUCCUGUCAUGCCAGGGGGGGAAAAACACCACAACAAACAACAACAACAACAACUAACUUUCUUUUAAAUAAACAAGCACUUUUUGAACCACAGGAGAGCACAUAGCUAACGUCUGUUAAGCGAAUAGCAGCAACGCGUUUAAGUCUAGCUCAGCGCGUGUCUGCAAAGCGGUUUUUGUGUUGCUUUUGCUGUAAUGUUUCUAGAAGACGGGCUGAAAAAGGCGGUUUCCUUUCAUUUCCAGUUAGCAUCACAGAGAAAACUUCAGCGCACCUCACGCCUACAGCACCCCUCCGGCCGAACCGCAGCGCCCCGCCCGCCCGCCAUCACGCACGCGCCCCGGGCCGGGCGAUGACGCCACGUUUAUUCGGUGCCUGAAGGACGGAAGCGCCGUGCAGCGCUCAGGAAAUGGCGGCGCUGCGGGCCGGGCGCGUGGCGCGGCGUGUCAUGGCGGCGCGGCUCGCUGCUGGGAAACGUAAGACGGACCGAGGAAGGACGGGACGCGGUACCCAGCCGGGCAGCUCCGCGAGGUCAGCCCCGCUCGGCCUGUGAUGCCCUCCAGUGGCAGCCGCGUGUGCUGCCGUGCUGGACGAGGGGAGCGGGAAGAGCGUCCGAAGUGCUUCGUGUCCCGGGAUGCAGAGAUAUCUCUGUUGCUGCCUUAGCAGUCUCAUAUGCCAUCCCUGCUGAUGACCACUGAGUCAUGCUCUGAAAAGCUGGCUGUUCCUGUGAUCUGCAGAUUCAUUGAGCCAGCAACGUAGUGGCAGAGCUGUUUGGUACUCUUAGAGCCUCAGUUGCACAGUGUGCAAGUACCUCGUAGCUGGCUCAGCGAAUCAGUCCUUGCAGCGCAUCUGUGAGAUGGUUGUCUGGGUUGAUGUAACAUCAGAGAUGAGCAGCUCAUCCUGGAGCCAGAAUAAGAUCUUUCUCUCAUUGUAAAGAGCGUGGCGUUCAGUUUUGGCAGAUAAAGGUUAAAUAUGCUCCGCUGUAUGGAAGCUGGACCUUGAAUCAAGGCAUAUGUUUUUAACUGAAGGGAGAAGAAGGUGUUAAAACAAUCCUGAAGUGUGGUGCUCUCUCACUGCUUUGUUCACUGUACACUUUAGCUGCUGUUCUCUGGUACAGCCUUUCAAUAUGUUAGCAUUGCUCACCUGGCCACCUUGUGCCCUGUGUAUUAACAGUGGUUGCAGGCUUAGUCACCUGUUUGUAGGAGACACAAGUUGUGCUCAUUGCAAGACACUGAAAUUGUCUGACCUGCCUCAUAGGAGGUUGGACAAGAUAAUCAUAACAGCACUUUUCUGUCUUGGAAGUCUGUGAAUUCCUGGUGGGCUAAGAAAUGAAGCUAUACUUGCAUAGUUCAGUGCUGCCAAAAACAAAACCCGUUUUGUUUUUCAAGCUGUAAGUCAGUAUUCAAAUGAAGAAGGCACUAAUCACUGUUCUAAGAGCAUAUUCUGCUCCUGUUUUCAUGGUUUCUGAAAAGCUUAUUUUGCGGAAACGCAUUUCUUCAUUUCUCAGCCAUUUGGAGAAAAACAGACAAGCUUUUGGCACACAUUUCUACAUCAAGUCUCUCUAAAUUUUGCCAAGCUUUAUUUAUAAGGACCGUGUCUACUGUAGAGACAACCUGUUCCUGACAAACCGCUAGAAUAGAAAAUUUGAACCAAUUAUUUUUGUAAUGAAUGUACAAUAAAUCUGUUGAAAAGC